AGAGUUUGAUCCUGGCUCAGAACGAACGCUGGCGGCGUGCUUAACACAUGCAAGUCGAGUGCGCGGUUGUAGCAAUACAACUGGCGCACGGCGCACGGGUGCGUAACACGUGGGUAAUCUGCCCUCUGAUGGGGAAUAACUCGCCGAAAGGCGAGCUAAUUCCGCAUAAUAUUCCGAGAACUUUGGUUUUUGGACUGAAAGGCGUAAGUCGUCGGAGGAGGAGCCCGCGCACGAUUAGCUAGUUGGUAGGGUAAUGGCCUACCAAGGCUUUGAUCGUUAGCUGGUCUGAGAGGAUGGCCAGCCACACUGGAACUGAGACACGGUCCAGACUCCUACGGGAGGCAGCAGUGGGGAAUCUUGCACAAUGGGCGAAAGCCUGAUGCAGCGACGCCGCGUGGGGGAUGAAGCAUUUCGGUGUGUAAACCCCUUUCGAUCCGGACGAAAACCUCGCAAGAGGAUUGACGGUACGGAUAUAAGAAGCCCCGGCUAACUACGUGCCAGCAGCCGCGGUAAGACGUAGGGGGCCAGCGUUGUUCGGAAUUACUGGGUGUAAAGGGUUCGUAGGCGGUGCGGCAAGUUGGGAGUGAAAUCUCUGGGCUCAACCCAGAGGCUGCUUCCAAAACUGCUGUGCUUGAGUGUGAGAGAGGCUCGUGGAAUUGCAGGUGUAGCGGUGAAAUGCGUAGAUAUCUGCAGGAACACCCGUGGCGAAAGCGGCGAGCUGGAUCACUACUGACGCUGAGGAACGAAAGCUAGGGGAGCAAACAGGAUUAGAUACCCCCGUAGUCC
rnacentral:rRNA from 1 species